rnacentral:ncRNA from 1 species
AAGAGGAAUCCAACUACUUGAUUAAAACAAAGCAUUGCGAUGGUUCUUGCGGAUGCUCACGCAAUGUGAUUUCUACCUAGUGCUUUGAAUGUUAAAGUGAAGAAAUUCAAUCAAGCACGGUUAAACAGAGGAAGUAACUAUGACUCUCUUAAGGUAGCCAAAUGCCUCAUCAUCUAAUUAGUGAUGCGCAUGAAUGGACUAAUGAGAUUACC